AUUCAGCUGACGAGUCCGAUGUAGGACGAAACACGCGUCCUGGAU
rfam:Schistosoma haematobium scaffold2365_6, whole genome shotgun sequence.